UACGUAGGGUGCAAGCGUUAAUCGGAAUUACUGGGCGUAAAGCGUGCGCAGGCGGUUUUUGUAAGACAGGCGUGAAAUCCCCCGGGCUUAAACCUGGGAAUGGCGCUUGUGACUGCAAAGCUGGAGUGCGGCAGAGGGGGAUGGAAUUCCGCGUGUAGCAGUGAAAUGCGUAGAUAUGCGGAGGAACACCGAUGGCGAAGGCAAUCCCCUGGGCCUGCACUGACGCUCAUGCACGAAAGCGUGGGGAGCAAAACAGG
rnacentral:rRNA from 1 species